GUUCGUGGCCGAGAGGUUAAGGCGAUAGAUAAGAAAUAAUUUGGGAUCUUCCCGCGCAGGGUCGAAUCCUGCCGACAACG
rnacentral:tRNA from 1 species